CGAUAAGGCAGGUGAGAAUCCUGCCCGCCGGAAGUCUAAGGAUUCCUGGGGAAGGCUCGUCCGCUCAGGGUAAGUCGGGACCUAAGGCAAGGCCGAAAGGCGUAGCCGAUGGGAAACAGGUAGAUAUUCCUGUACCACCGCUAUAUGAUGACGAAGCAGUGACGCAGAAAGGUAGAGCGAGCGGCCAGUUGGUGAGCCGUUCAAGUGAGUAGGGUGUUGCGUAGGCAAAUCCGCGCAACGAGAGCCUGAGACACGAUGACGAGUGAAAAAUAGUAACGAAGUCCUUGAUCCUCCGCUGCCAAGAAAAGCUGCUAAGGAAUAUAGAGGUGCCCGUACCGCAAACCGACACAGGUAGACAGGUAGAGAAUACUAAGGCGCGCGAGAUAACUCUUGUUAAGGAACUCUGCAAAAUGAACCCGUAACUUCGGGAGAAGGGUUGCUCUCUAGCGUGAGUAUGAGCAAUACAGAGCGCAGGAGAGUCGCAGUGAAAAGGUCCAGGCGACUGUUUAGCAAAAACACAGGUCAUUGCAAAAUCGCAAGAUGAAGUAUAAUGGCUGACGCCUGCCCGGUGCUGGAAGGUUAAGGGGAAGAGUGCAAGCUUUGAACCGAAGCCCCAGUAAACGGCGGCCGUAACUAUAACGGUCCUAAGGUAGCGAAAUUCCUUGUCGGGUAAGUUCCGACCCGCACGAAAGGCGAAACGAUCUGGACGCUGUCUCAACAAGGGACUCGGUGAAAUUGAAAUUCCGGUAAAGAUGCCGGAUACCUGCGAUAGGACAGAAAGACCCCAUGGAGCUUUACUGUAGCCUGAUAUUGGGUUUCGGAUAUUCAUGUACAGGAUAGGUGGGAGACUAAGAAGCAUGGACGCCAGUUUGUGCGGAGUCACUGGUGGGAUACCACCCUUAAAUGUUUGGAAUUCUAACAAGGAGUCUUGAAGCAGAUUAUUGGACAGUGUCAGGUGGGCAGUUUGACUGGGGCGGUCGCCUCCCAAAAGGUAACGGAGGCGCUCAAAGGUUCCCUCAGAACGGAUGGAAAUCGUUCGCAGAGUGCAAAGGCAGAAGGGAGCUUGACUGCGAGAGCCACAACUCGAGCAGAUAGGAAACUAGGACUUAGUGAUCCGGCGGUCGCGAGUGGAAGUGCCGUC
rnacentral:rRNA from 1 species